UGCUAGCUUGCUAAUAAUUCUCUAGUGGCGCACGGGUGAGUAACACGUGAGUAACCUGCCCCCAAGAGUGGGAUAGCCCCGGGAAACUGGGAUUAAUACCGCAUAAAAUCGCAAGAUUAAAGCAGCAAUGCGCUUGGGGAUGGGCUCGCGUCCUAUUAGUUAGUUGGUGAGGUAACGGCUCACCAAGGCGAUGACGGGCAGCCGGUCUGAGAGGAUGUCCGGCCACACUGGAACUGAGACACGGUCCAGACACCUACGGGUGGCAGCAGUCGAGAAUCAUUCACAAUGGGGGAAACCCUGAUGGUGCGACGCCGCGUGGGGGAAUGAAGGUCUUCGGAUUGUAAACCCCUGUCAUGUGGGAGCAAAUUAAAAAGAUAGUACCACAAGAGGAAGAGACGGCUAACUCUGUGCCAGCAGCCGCGGUAAUACAGAGGUCUCAAGCGUUGUUCGGAAUCACUGGGCGUAAAGCGUGCGUAGGCGGUUUCGUAAGUCGUGUGUGAAAGGCGGGGGCUCAACCCCCGGACUGCACAUGAUACUGCGAGACUAGAGUAAUGGAGGGGGAACCGGAAUUCUCGGUGUAGCAGUGAAAUGCGUAGAUAUCGAGAGGAACACUCGUGGCGAAGGCGGGUUCCUGGACAUUAACUGACGCUGAGGCACGAAGGCCAGGGGAGCGAAAGGGAUUAGAUACCCCUGUAGUCCUGGCAGUAAACGGUGCACGCUUGGUGUGCGGGGAAUCGACCCCCUGCGUGCCGGAGCUAACGCGUUAAGCGU
rnacentral:rRNA from 1 species